GGGCUUAUGGUGGGGAUUUCACAUAUAAGCAGGCCUCUCAAAUAUGCAAAAUGCAAUCGGUGGAGUUGGAUUUUUGCUGACGGGUCUAGGUACGAGGGGGACAGAGGAAAUGAUACAACAUCUAUUCUGUCUAGCAAUACGUGUGCAUCAGCUGGGAGGGCGCGGAUGAGAUUAAACCUCCGAGGCCACCGCCUACCUCAGUCACUCCUUUUCAUUUGUGUUUGGCUUUAUCAGUCAACCUGAGUCGUUAAACAUGCGUAGGAGGUUUUGGAUAUGGGUUGCCUUGUCUCAACUAUUAUAUGAAGUUACGAACGCCCACGAGAUACAACUACGAUGCCCUCAGCGUCCACUGGGAGGGGCGUCAGCCUGUGCUCCAGGUGGCUCACAAGAAAUAAUUUUCUUGUCUUUCUCUCCUGGUCGUUGGGUCUUCCAGUGGGAAGUGCACUCGACUGUCACCGCUCAUC
rnacentral:lncRNA from 1 species